UCAUAUCAAUUGUUUUAGUUACUUAUCAAUUGAAAAAUAGUACAACUUUAUGACAACAUACUUUAUGAUAUAGGUUGUCAAUAGCUGUCAAAAUUGGGGGCAAACUUUGAAAUUCAAAAUUCAAAUCAAACAAGAUGAUAUACCACUUCUUUCUCAUUAUUCUUUCUUCUACAUUUAACUCUUCACUCUCCUCCUUUUGCUUAUUCAUAUUUUGUGAUAUCCUCCAUUUUACUAAUAUCCAUUUUUUUGUGUUUUGCAGAAAAAGUAUAAGACAUUCAUCUCUAUCCAACAACAAGAAUUACUCAUCUCUACCACCAACAACAACAACAACAACAACAACAACGCGGCCGAAUAAGUAUAUGAAGAUUUAUGAUUUUUUUUCUUGAACUUCAUCACAGCCGAAUAAGUAUAUGAAGAUGAAACUCACGUAUGAAGAUCUCCUUGCCAUUUUGUUGUUGCGGCGGCUAGGGUUUGAUGAAGGAGAAGAGAGAAUUUGGUGAAAAAUAUAUGAAGGUUAUACCAACCAUGUAUUCACAAGAUAUUUACAAAAUAGAAGGAUUUCAUUUUCCGGCACGGUGGAUGCAAUUUCCGGCACGGUGGUCACCGGUAAAAGUAGUCCGAUCUUGAUUUUUACUUUGUGGGUUUUGUAGAGAAUAUCGAUGAGAGUCUUUUUAUGAUGAUGAUUUUUUUGAAGGUUAUCUAUGGUGGUGGAGAUCUAGACGAAAAGGUGGACGGUUGGAGAAAUAUAUCAGAAAAAAAAAAUCGGUGGAAGGAAGAUAACUUGAGAAGUUCAAAUAUGCGUAUUGUCUAAAAGGAGCAUGAAGUGCCGGAGCAAUGGUGGAAGUUGGCGGCGGCUAGGGUUUGUUGGAGAGGAAGAGAGUUUCUCAAAGAAAUGUUUGUUAAGAGAGAGAAGGAAAAUUAUUAAAUGGGUGUUUGAAGUUAAAAGUGAAAAAAAUAGAUUCCUCAUUGGUCUACCACAAGAGAAGAAUGAUUUUUUUUUUAUUUGUAAUAAAAGAUUGGGAAAAGUUUUAAUUGUUAUUAUCAUUAUAAAAAAUAAAAAAGUAAGAUGAUUUCUUGGA